rnacentral:lncRNA from 1 species
GGGGCUUCUUCACAAGGGAUUGUUCAUGCCAUUCAAGGAUGAUGCCAAAAUAUAUAUUCUCCUUUUUCAAAUGUAAAAUGGACACGAACUUUUGGAAAACCAGGAAAACAAACAAAAAGACAGAAUGUGCUAUAACCUUCUGGAAACUUCUACUAUUUUCCUGCAACCUGACUACCCCUUAGGUGAGGGAGUCCAGAAUGCUGGCUUGAAAUGGGAGAGAGAAAGAACUGCCACAUAAUUUGCAAGAUCUUUUUUGAAAAAGAAAAGGUAUUAAGAAUUCCAGGACAGCAUUAGGAAUGUAUUAAACCAGAAUAAGGAACAGCGGAGCUUCCCCCUAAGACCCUGGUGUGUUUCUGCAUCAGGAAACCUUCUCUCCUGCAAUGUGUCGUUUAAGAUUGAACAACAUGGUGCCUUUGCCAGAAGUUAACAGGAAACCCAAAAGGAGAUGAGCCAGACUGGUUAGUUCAGAAGAGAAUCGUUGGGGAAGACAAUGGGAGCUGCUGUUUGAAUGUGGCCCUGAGAUUAUUUGUGCUUUUCAAUCCCAUGUUACCAAAACACAUUUCAAGCUGGCCUAUAAAUCACACCUUGUG